rnacentral:rRNA from 1 species
GACGUAGGGCGCGAGCGUUGUCCGGAUUUAUUGGGCGUAAAGAGCUCGUAGGCGGCUCGUUGCGUCGGCUGUGAAAACCCGCAGCUCAACUGUGGGCUUGCAGCUGAUACGGGCGGGCUGGAGUUCGGUAGGGGAGACUGGAAUUCCUGGUGUAGCGGUGGAAUGCGCAGAUAUCAGGAGGAACACCGAUAGCGAAGGCAGCUCGCUGGGACGGUACUGACGCUGAGGCGCGAAAGCGUGGGGAGCGAACAGG